UGCGCCCCCGCUCCUCGCGCGCACCGCACCUCGAUGCACGCGAUCCCGGUGUCCAUCUGGGCGCCGGCGACCGGAUUGGAGCCCCACACCACGAACUUGUUGCCCCACGGGCAGGUGACUUCGAAGCAAGAGG
rnacentral:rRNA from 13 species